AUUGAACGCUGGCGGCAUGCCUUACACAUGCAAGUCGAACGGCAGCACGGGGGCAACCCUGGUGGCGAGUGGCGAACGGGUGAGUAACGCAUCGGAAUGUACCCAGUAGUGGGGGAUAACUAGUCGAAAGAUUAGCUAAUACCGCAUACGCACUGAGGUGGAAAGCGGGGGGAUCGCAAGACCUCGCGCUAUUGGAGCAGCCGAUGUCCGAUUAGGUAGUUGGUGGGGUAAAGGCCGUACCAAGCCUGCGAUCGGUAACUGGUCUGAGAGGACGACCAGUCACACUGGGACUGAGACACGGCCCAGACUCCUACGGGAGGCAGCAGUGGGGAAUUUUGGACAAUGGGCGCAAGCCUGAUCCAGCAAUGCCGCGUGUGUGAAGAAGGCCU
rnacentral:rRNA from 1 species